UAGUCCACGCCGUAAACGAUGUCGACUUGGAGGUUGUGCCCUUGAGGCGUGGCUUCCGGAGCUAACGCGUUAAGUCGACCGCCUGGGGAGUACGGCCGCAAGGUUAAAACUCAAAUGAAUUGACGGGGGCCCGCACAAGCGGUGGAGCAUGUGGUUUAAUUCGAUGCAACGCGAAGAACCUUACCUGGUCUUGACAUCCACGGAAGUUUUCAGAGAUGAGAAUGUGCCUUCGGGAACCGUGAGAC
rnacentral:rRNA from 1 species